GAGAAAAUUUAUGGAUUUCAAGUAAUCAAGCAAUCAAAGGUGGUGAAUCCUCAAAUAAAGGCAAGAAAAUUGUACCCGAGAAUCGAUAGUCGAAGUACUCUAAAAAUUUGACUUCUGAAAUAGCUCAGAAUAGGCUGUAGAUAGCUGAUUCCAUUGAGGC